rnacentral:misc_RNA from 1 species
UAUAUAUAUAUAUAUAUAUAUGCUCACCGGUCUCCAAAUCUACAAUCCAGCUCCAGCCAUCAUUAAAUUAUAAUAAUCACAUUGAAAUAUCCAGCAAAAAGUAAUUAGUGGCAGUUAAAUUAUAAUAAAUAAAUAAGUUAAUUGACAGAUAAUAAUAAAAAAAUGAACAGAUUAUUUAUCUUUAAUUUCAGCUCAUAAAUUGACUAACACACUUCAUGCUUAAUACAAUAAACUGAUCAAGGAAAAAAAAAGAAGGGAGAAAAGACAAUGGUCAGCUACUACAAAGUUCAGAUCCAUAAAACUAAAGAAUUUAAUAUAAACUUAAAAUCAAUGAAAUGUAUCAAAUGCAACACUAAAAGAAAUCAGUGAGAGAGCACCUUCAGUGGUCCAGAAGUAAUCAA